CACACUUCCUCCUAUGGUCCAAUGUUGGUGGCAGUAUGCAAAUAAUAGUUUGGAGAGAUGCAAAGGUAUCAUGAUGUAGAAUCGGAAAUUAAAUUCCA